UUAAGCGACUAAGCGUACACGGUGGAUGCCCUGGCAGUCAGAGGCGAUGAAGGACGUGCUAAUCUGCGAAAAGCGCCGGCGAGGUGAUAUGAACCCUUGACCCGGCGAUGUCCGAAUGGGGAAACCCAGUGCAAUCCGUUGCACUAUCGUUAACUGAAUACAUAGGUUAACGAGGCGAACCGGGGGAACUGAAACAUCUAAGUACCCCGAGGAAAAGAAAUCAACCGAGAUUCCCCCAGUAGCGGCGAGCGAACGGGGAGCAGCCCGGAGUCUGAAUCAGCUUGUGUGUUAGUGGAACGGUCUGGAAAGUCCGACGGUACAGGGUGAUAGUCCCGUACACGAAAAUGCACAUGCUGUGAACUCGAAGAGUAGGGCGGGACACGUGGUAUCCUGUCUGAAUAUGGGGGGACCAUCCUCCAAGGCUAAAUACUCCUGACUGACCGAUAGUGAACCAGUACCGUGAGGGAAAGGCGAAAAGAACCCCGGCGAGGGGAGUGAAAAAGAACCUGAAACCGUGUACGUACAAGCAGUGGGAGCCUCUUUAUGGGGUGACUGCGUACCUUUUGUAUAAUGGGUCAGCGACUUAUAUUCUGUAGCAAGGUUAACCGUAUAGGGGAGCCGAAGGGAAACCGAGUCUUAACUGGGCGUUAAGUUGCAGGGUAUAGACCCGAAACCCGGUGAUCUAGCCAUGGGCAGGUUGAAGGUUGGGUAACACUAACUGGAGGACCGAACCGACUAAUGUUGAAAAAUUAGCGGAUGACCUGUGGCUGGGGGUGAAAGGCCAAUCAAACCGGGAGAUAGCUGGUUCUCCCCGAAAGCUAUUUAGGUAGCGCCUCGUGAACUCAUCUUCGGGGGUAGAGCACUGUUUCGGCUAGGGGGCCAUCCCGGCUUACCAACCCGAUGCAAACUACGAAUACCGAAGAAUGUUAUCACGGGAGACACACGGCGGGUGCUAACGUCCGUCGUGAAGAGGGAAACAACCCAGACCGCCAGCUAAGGUCCCAAAGUCAUGGUUAAGUGGGAAACGAUGUGGGAAGGCACAGACAGCCAGGAUGUUGGCUUAGAAGCAGCCAUCAUUUAAAGAAAGCGUAAUAGCUCACUGGUCGAGUCGGCCUGCGCGGAAGAUGUAACGGGGCUAAACCAUGCACCGAAGCUGCGGCAGCGACACUAUGUGUUGUUGGGUAGGGGAGCGUUCUGUAAGCCGUUGAAGGUGUGCUGUGAGGCAUGCUGGAGGUAUCAGAAGUGCGAAUGCUGACAUAAGUAACGAUAAAGCGGGUGAAAAGCCCGCUCGCCGGAAGACCAAGGGUUCCUGUCCAACGUUAAUCGGGGCAGGGUGAGUCGACCCCUAAGGCGAGGCCGAAAGGCGUAGUCGAUGGGAAACAGGUUAAUAUUCCUGUACUUGGUGUUACUGCGAAGGGGGGACGGAGAAGGCUAUGUCAGCCGGGCGACGGUUGUCCCGGUUUAAGCAUGUAGGCGGAGGUUCCAGGUAAAUCCGGUACCUUGUUAACGCUGAGGUGUGAUGACGAGGCACUACGGUGCUGAAGUGAUAAAUGCCCUGCUUCCAGGAAAAGCCUCUAAGCAUCAGGUAACACGAAAUCGUACCCCAAACCGACACAGGUGGUCAGGUAGAGAAUACCAAGGCGCUUGAGAGAACUCGGGUGAAGGAACUAGGCAAAAUGGUGCCGUAACUUCGGGAGAAGGCACGCUGAUGUGUAGGUGAAGCCCCUGCGGGUGGAGCUGAAAUCAGUCGAAGAUACCAGCUGGCUGCAACUGUUUAUUAAAAACACAGCACUGUGCAAACACGAAAGUGGACGUAUACGGUGUGACGCCUGCCCGGUGCCGGAAGGUUAAUUGAUGGGGUUAGCGGCAACGCGAAGCUCUUGAUCGAAGCCCCGGUAAACGGCGGCCGUAACUAUAACGGUCCUAAGGUAGCGAAAUUCCUUGUCGGGUAAGUUCCGACCUGCACGAAUGGCGUAAUGAUGGCCAGGCUGUCUCCACCCGAGACUCAGUGAAAUUGAACUCGCUGUGAAGAUGCAGUGUACCCGCGGCAAGACGGAAAGACCCCGUGAACCUUUACUAUAGCUUGACACUGAACACUGGUCCUUGAUGUGUAGGAUAGGUGGGAGGCUUUGAAGCGUGGACGCCAGUCUGCGUGGAGCCAACCUUGAAAUACCACCCUUUAAUGGCUGGUGUUCUAACGUAGACCCGUAAUCCGGGUUGCGGACAGUGUCUGGUGGGUAGUUUGACUGGGGCGGUCUCCUCCCAAAGAGUAACGGAGGAGCACGAAGGUUGGCUAAUCCUGGUCGGACAUCAGGAGGUUAGUGCAAUGGCAUAAGCCAGCUUGACUGCGAGCGUGACGGCGCGAGCAGGUGCGAAAGCAGGUCAUAGUGAUCCGGUGGUUCUGAAUGGAAGGGCCAUCGCUCAACGGAUAAAAGGUACUCCGGGGAUAACAGGCUGAUACCGCCCAAGAGUUCAUAUCGACGGCGGUGUUUGGCACCUCGAUGUCGGCUCAUCACAUCCUGGGGCUGAAGUAGGUCCCAAGGGUAUGGCUGUUCGCCAUUUAAAGUGGUACGCGAGCUGGGUUUAGAACGUCGUGAGACAGUUCGGUCCCUAUCUGCCGUGGGCGCUGGAGAAUUGAGGGGGGCUGCUCCUAGUACGAGAGGACCGGAGUGGACGCAUCACUGGUGUUCGGGUUGUCAUGCCAAUGGCACUGCCCGGUAGCUAAAUGCGGAAGAGAUAAGUGCUGAAAGCAUCUAAGCACGAAACUUGCCCCGAGAUGAGUUCUCCCUGAGACUUUAAGUCUCCUGAAGGAACGUUGAAGACGACGACGUUGAUAGGUCGGGUGUGUAAGCGCAGCGAUGCGUUGAGCUAACCGAUACUAAUGAACCGUGAGGCUUAACCUU
rnacentral:rRNA from 1 species